rnacentral:rRNA from 1 species
CAGUAGCCGCGGUAACACGUAGGGUGCAAGCGUUAAUCGGAAUUACUGGGCGUAAAGCGUGCGCAGGCGGUUAUAUAAGACAGAUGUGAAAUCCCCGGGCUCAACCUGGGAACUGCAUUUGUGACUGUAUAGCUAGAGUACGGCAGAGGGGGAUGGAAUUCCGCGUGUAGCAGUGAAAUGCGUAGAUAUGCGGAGGAACACCGAUGGCGAAGGCAAUCCCCUGGGCCUGUACUGACGCUCAUGCACGAAAGCGUGGGGAGCAAACAGGAUUAGAUACCCGAGUAGUCCCUGUCUCUUAUAC